CAAUAGCGUAUAUUAAAGUUGUUGCAGUUAAAAAGCUCGUAGUUGGAUUUCGGGGCGGCCCGGCAGGUCCGCCGCGAGGCGAGCACUGGUCGGGCGCCCUUCCUCUCGAAGGCUUCGACUGCUCUUGAUUGCGGUGGUCGAGGAGUUCGGGACGUUUACUUUGAAAAAAUUAGAGUGUUCAAGGCAGGCCGUCGCCUGAAUACAUUAGCAUGGAAUAAUGGAAGAGGACCUCGGUCCUAUUUUGUUGGUUUCCAGGGCCGAAGUAAUGAUUAAGAGGGACAGUUGGGGGCAUUCGUAUUCAAUUGUCAGAGGUGAAAUUCUCGGAUUUAUGGAAGACGAACAAGUGCGAAAGCAUUUGCCAAGGAUGUUUUCAUUAA
rnacentral:rRNA from 1 species